rnacentral:rRNA from 1 species
AGCGAACGCUGGCGGCAGGCCUAACACAUGCAAGUCGAACGCCCCGCAAGGGGAGUGGCAGACGGGUGAGUAACGCGUGGGAACGUACCCUUCGGUUCGGAAUAACUCAGGGAAACUUGGGCUAAUACCGGAUACGUCCGUGAGGAGAAAGAUUCAUCGCCGAAGGAUCGGCCCGCGUAAGAUUAGCUAGUUGGUGAGGUAACGGCUCACCAAGGCUAUGAUCUUUAGCUGGUCUGAGAGGACGAUCAGCCACACUGGGACUGAGACACGGCCCAGACUCCUGCGGGAGGCAGCAGUGGGGAAUAUUGGACAAUGGGCGCAAGGCUGAUCCAGCCAUGCCGCGUGAGUGAUGAAGGCCUUAGGGUUGUAAAGCUCUUUCGGCGGGGACGAUAAUGACGGUACCCGCAGAAGAAGCCCCGGCUAACUUCGUGCCAGCCGCCGCCGUAA